rnacentral:lncRNA from 1 species
ACAGGAGCCCCAGCCCCACACAGCAACCACCCGGGCGAGAAAGAAAGAAAGAGCCAGGGAGGCGGGCGAAGCGCGGGGAGAGAAGCAGAGAAGAAAUAUUCACCUUCCCGCCUCAUGCCCACUUUGAGGCACUUCUUGAGGCGGCAGUAUUGGCACUGGUUGCGGUGGUGCUGGUCGAUGGGACAGUUCCUGUUGGCACGGCAUGUCAGGUAGAUGAAACUCAAGAGAAAAGGUGUGGAUAAAUGAAACUAGCCCAUGAUGAACCUGUUUUCUCCGUGACCACAAUAUUAACCAGGAUGAAUGGCGGUGGCAGUGGGCCUGCAUCACAGGUUGCAGCAGAUGUUCUCAAUAUUUCUAUUAAAAUUUCCUUAUUUCCAUAUGCAAGAGGAGCCCCAGAGCUGCAUCCUUAUGGUAGCUACCAUGCCGUGAUGUAAGCUGCCAUUCACUGGGGAGCUUUGGCAAUAGAAUUGGCUAGAUCAGGAAGCCUAUGUCAACUAUGGAACAACAACUUGCAGCUCAUCUCUAUUGAUGAUGGAAUCUCGCUAUGUCACCAGGCUGGAGUGCAGUGGCGCAACCUCGGCUCAGCGCAACAUCCGCCUCCCGGGUUCAAGUGAUUCUCCUACCUCAGCCUCCUGAGUAGCUGGGAUUACAGGUGAAACAGUCGCAAAUGGAAUUCCAAGAAACAUUCUAUAUACACUGCCUCUAGGACUGGGACAGAUAGCCACUGAGUACCUGCUUCAAAUCACCCUGCACGUUUUCUCUUUGGAAAGAUAAGCACUGGAGAACCAUCUCGUUACCUUCAGCAGAAAUGGAAACAAAUCAAGACAUUAAGAAUGCCGCAGUGGACAGCAGUUAUGCAAGGUUCAGCAGAGGAAGUUUUCAAGAUGGUGUGCCUCACUAGCCAGAAAUCAGAAAAGAUCGAAGCUAGCCUUUUCAUCUCAGCUGCUCCUUAAAUCAGUGCAACCCCUCCAAAUUAAUGUGAAUUGAAACUUGCAUUGCUUUUCAACUUAAUUGAAUACUUACUAUAUGUGAACCACUGCACAAAAUAGGGGAAGAAGAUGUGGGAGACAAAGAUGUGGAGCCUGUCUUCAAUAAAUUUACAGUUAGUUUCAGGGUACAUUGUUUUUCUUCUGCUGUUAAUUAGGUGUAUCCCCAAGACAAUAAAUACAUGAAUGGAAAAGUAUAUUCUGUGUUUUAAGUCUCUUUAAUAAAAAACAAAACAAAAUCCAAAAAAACUCCUAACAUGGCAACUCAGGACAUUUUAAUCCUUUUUUUUGUUGUUGGGCUUCUGAUAGGAUCCAUUUUAUUGAUUCCAUAAAUAUUUAGUAGACUUUAGACAUAUUAAUACAUUGUAGUUUGAGUUAAUUUGCAUUAAAUUCUGUUUUUUUCCCCUUAGGUAUAGAUUGUCUGUUGGAAAAAUAUAUUGCUUGUGGAUUUCUUGGGGAGUGGGAAGGUGAAUUAUACCUGUUGUCUCUACAGUCCACUACCUUCCACACCCUAGGGCAGUGGUCCCCAACCUUCUUGGCACCAGGGAUCAGUUUCCUGGAAGACAAUUUUUCUGUGGAUGGUGUGGGGAUGGUUUUGGGAUGGAACUGUUCCACCUCAGAUCAUCAGGCAUUAGUUAGGCUCUCAUAACGAGUGCGCAGCCUAGAUCCCUCACAUGCACAGUUCACAGUAGGGUUUGCGCUGCUAUGAGAAUCUAAGGCUGCCACUGAUCUGACAGGAGGCAGAACUCAGGUGGCAAUGCUUACUGGCCCACUGCUCACCUCUUGCUGUGCGGCCUGGUUCCUAAUAGGCCAUGGACCCCCACAGACGGGUACUAGUCUGCAGCCUGUGGACCCCAGCCCUAGGGGCCUGCCAUUCUGAGUGAGUUAUUAGCAUGAAGAAGAGGAAGAUCUGGAUCAAACGUGGGUGAUGGUACUCAGAGACCCAAGAUAGGAUAGGGAUGGAACAAAAUCCAUCUGGGCAACGGCUCUAUGAAAAUUUGGCUAAGUAAUUAUUUCAGUAUUCAUUGUAUUCAUUGUCCUUCGUGUUCCAUAAGUUAAAUGACUGUCUAAUUUUUCCAAAAAUUUAUUUCUGACUUGAGAAUAAGUGUGUCAUGAUUUUCCCAGUGUAAAGACACUGAUAUAACUGUAGAUACCAGACAUUUUAUGUAGUGUCUAUGACACAUUUUAGUAUGUAUGAGCCAACAAUAGACAUGUCUUUGUCUUGAGGAGUGUCCAUCUGAAUUGAAAAUGUGUCAGCUUUUUUUUAACAUCAUCAACAGACUUCUUAAUUAAGCUGCCAAUACAUACUGCCAAUAGCACUGUGUGCUGUCUGAGAAAUGCAUUGUGUAAGUGCUAUUUCCAUCUUAUUAAAUAAACAAUGUUGCUCUGUAUAAACUGGAUUUAAAGUGUUCUUUGAAUGAGGCAUUAUAUUGCUCCAUAAAUAAUGUGAUGUGAAUUCUCAUAUGAUCCCUUUUAACUUAAUUUCUAAAAAAAUAUUAUUUGCUCCUCAGUAAGGAAUAGCUCUAAUUGGACUGGUAACUUUAGUGAUAUGAUUUGUCUGUAACAGGCUGAAUCGCCCCACUCCCAAACUCCUGGUCGUGAUACUGGAUAUUUGUUAUGCCACUUUUAGUUUGCAUGAGGUAUCUUCCAGGAAGUAUUAGUUAUUAACUUGUGUUCUACUAAACUGUAGAUAUUUAUUUCCUGUUCUGGAAGAUUUCUUGGAGUGUCCAUCUGUGCAUUCCUGGUGCCUAGUGUAGUCUUGCUAAUGGAAUAGCACCUUUAUUGGUGCUACUUAGGGGUUGGUAGCUUACAAUCAAUCUACUUGGAACGUAUCCAAAUAAACUGGAUAUUUUUAUACA